rnacentral:tRNA from 1 species
GAUGGCAGGGCCGAGUGGUCUAAGGAACUGGUUUUAAGCACCAGUCCGAAAGGGCGCGGGUUCGAAUCCCGCCGCCGUCA